rnacentral:rRNA from 1 species
UACGUAGGGUGCAAGCGUUAAUCGGAAUUACUGGGCGUAAAGCGUGCGCAGGCGGUUUUGUAAGUCUGUCGUGAAAUCCCCGGGCUUAACCUGGGAAUGGCGAUGGAGACUGCAAGGCUAGAGUUUGGCAGAGGGGGGGUGAGAAUUCCACGUGUAGCAGUGAAAUGCGUAGAGAUGUGGAGGAACACCGAUGGCGAAGGCAGCCCCCCUGGGUCAAAACUGACGCUCAUGCACGAAAGCGUGGGGAGCAAACAGG